AGAAAGCAUUCCACAUCUAUCUGUUUAUUUAUUUGGUUAUGGAGAAGUUGAGCUUAGAUUUUGAUUUUUUGUUGCUGGUCAAGCCCAUGAUUUUCUGCAUCGAAGGCAGAUUCGAAAGCAACAUCUGUAUGCAAGAAACCUGCUCAACAUCGAUAAGUUUCUCAAAUCCUGUUCAGCAAAGUGAGGACUGAAGAAACUGGUCACCCUGCACACACAGACAGGUGGCAUGUUUGAGAAGCUGCCUGCAGGGAGAAAGUUUAGUUUUCAGUGUUUAAUGUUGAAGUCCUCCUUCACUUAGCGCUCUCCAAACACAUCUUAUCAUCAUUCACUGCUUCAUGGACAAUGGUAAUCAAUCACUCAUUGUCAGGUUUACUCAUCCACUCAAGUAAUGGGACAAUUACACACUGUGACUGAAAAUUGGGCCAUCAUAAGUUUGAUAAAAGCUUGUAUCUCUAUCCAGGCAAUACUUCCCACAGUGGCUCCCUUUAGGCCUAGUUCCAGUGAUUGAGCACCAUUGCUGUAGGCUGAUCCAAAGCCAAAGUUUCUACUUAUAAACUGUAUUACCAUUUUCUGCCCCACACAGCUGCCUGGAGCCUGAGCUGAGGAAACCUGACAUUGCUGGACAGGUUUCCGAUGCUCAGCAUGCCGUUGAACUCGUCAGUCAUGGGGUAGUGCUCCAUGGCCAUGAAAAGUGUGUUGAGGACAAUGCAGAUGGUGAUGGCCAGGUCCAGGAAGGGGUCCAUCACCAUGAUCUUCACCAGCUGCUUCACCCGCAGCCAGCAGGGACAGCACUCCCACACGAGGCGGGCAGCUGCCCCUGCAGCGGUGGUGGAGAAACCCCAUUCUGGUCCAUGGCAACAAACAGCUUCCCGUUGACGUUUAGAGUUGGAUAAAAUACCUGGAAACAGAUGCAGGGAUGAACUAAGAAUCAGUAUGGAGGCCUUUGAACACCACAGAGAUGUGGGACCUUUAGUUUUCUUCUCUUCAUUCAUAUAUUUGAUGAAAUGUUUUGGUUUGUUUUGGUUAUUUGACUCUAUCCUCAUGCUGAAGUAUUCCUCAUGAGUCAUGUCAUUCCUCAUUACAUCCAAGGUCUGACAUGAUUAAAUUCUACAGAAAUACAGUGUAAUAUCAAACCUUUAAUCACAAGCCAUUUUAUCUAAUAUAUAUAAACUAGUCUUACCAUGUUACAUUACCUAAUAUCAUAUCAACCAAUCAUAUGUAAAAAAAGCCUCAAUGCAAAUUCCACAAUCAAGACAUCUGGGCUGAUCUAAUCAGAUCUUCCAUCCAAAUCUCAUCUCUUCUGAAGUUUCAUUGUGCUAUUUAAAUGUAUCUCAUCUCUAAUCUAAUCCAACCUCAGCUGAAAAAAAAAGAAAAGACAUAUGACAUCUCUCAUGUCAUUUUGUCUGAUCUAAACUCAGCAAAUUUUGUUUAACUCCAUACUUUCUGGUCAGAUAGUGUCCUUUCAUCUAAAAAAAUAAUCU